UAUAGGCACGAAGAAGGAAGAAGGUGCAAGUCACUCGAAGGCAUAAGUAUCUCAAGAUCGCGGUAAAUCCUCAACUUAGGCGACUCGGCGAAAUGGAGCGAGCACGUGUCCAUGUCAUGUUAUACCAAAUGCUUCCGCUAGCUUAUGUUCAUCUUUAUGGUCCAUGACUUGUUAUUAUUUUUUUUUUCAACUUUGUUAGUAGUCGUACAUUUGUAAAGCUUGUCGUCUUGCUUUGAGUAGUUUAAGGUCAAACGGAUCGUAGUAUGUUGUUUAGUUUAUUAUGUUAAAAACAGGGGGCACGUUCGUUUUACGAACGGGUCAUGCCGAAUUUUUGUAAAAAUUUUACUAUGUAUCAAAGUUGGUAUUUUUGAUGUC